rnacentral:rRNA from 1 species
AUUGAACGCUGGCGGCAUGCUUUACACAUGCAAGUCGAACGGCAGCGGGGUAGUGCUUGCACUACUGCCGGCGAGUGGCGAACGGGUGAGUAAUAUAUCGGAACGUACCGGGUAAUGGGGGAUAACCAAUCGAAAGAUUGGCUAAUACCGCAUACGUCCUAAGGGAGAAAGCGGGGGAUCGCAAGACCUCGCGUUAUUCGAGCGGCCGAUAACUGAUUAGCUAGUUGGUGGGGUAAAGGCCUACCAAGGCGACGAUCAGUAGCGGGUCUGAGAGGACGAUCCGCCACACUGGGACUGAGACACGGCCCAGACUCCUACGGGAGGCAGCAGUGGGGAAUUUUGGACAAUGGGGGCAACCCUGAUCCAGCCAUGCCGCGUGUCUGAAGAAGGCCUUCGGGUUGUAAAGGACUUUUGUUAGGGAAGAAAAGGGAAGUGCUAAUACCACUUUUUGCUGACGGUACCUAAAAGAAUA